GCCCCAGUAGCUCAGUGGCAGAGCACCACUCUCGUAAAGUGGGGGUCGCAGGUUCAAAUCCUGUCUGGGGCU
rnacentral:tRNA from 1 species